rnacentral:lncRNA from 1 species
UUCGAUUGGUGUUAAAUUGUUAAGAUAUUGAUGAUCCGUGUCAUGUGGAUGUGUCAACGAAAUGAUUUUGUACUAAACUUAAAUUAAACCUGUGGUUUCGAUAUUUUAACUGCAUGUUGAAAUCAAAUUGGAUCAUUGUACAAGACUCACAUAAAUUUCUUUACUCACUGUCACUCAUUCUCUAACCUCAGCUAUCAUUAUGUUUCUCUCUCUCUCAAGGGUUGAUUUUAAACAUUUUGACAUGUAGAGAUUGAGUUGGCUAAUUAUAGUAUCAUAAAGAAUCUAAAAAUGUAAUUUGUUCAUUAUUUAAAGUUGCUGUACAACCAUACCGUCCUUCAAUAUCCAAAUUUGAUGUUUCCUUUAUAACCAAUCCUCUCAACCUUUCAUUCUCAUCUAUAUUUACAUUGAAAGAUACCAAUCUAUAGUAGUUUAUGUUUUUACCUAAUGGUUCUAAAAUAGAACUUAUAUCCUGUAAAGCCUUGAACUCGGUAUAUUUUCAUGCACAUAAUCAUUGAUCCCGUAAACAUUGAAUUUAUCCCGUAGGAACUUUGGAUCAUUAGGGAUGUAAAGCGUAAGAAGUGUAGCAAAGAGACUUCUUAAAUAAUUAGAUAUUUCAUAGAUAAUAGCUUCAUAUAAACAUUCUUCGCAAUGAUAAUCCCUAUGAUAUUUUUUAUGAUCUUUAUUUCCAUCUAUACAUACAUUCUUAAGAUAUAGGUAUCCACAAGGGCCAUGUAUAUUGUGUUUAACAAUAAUAGAAUGAAGAUAAGAAUAUAUAUUAUUGCUAGGUAUUUCAUAUGACACUAUCCUUUCAACUUCUUGAGCACAAGAAAUCUUACUAAUGCAGCUGAAAAUCAAUGGUAAAUGUGCAUGAGGGAGUCUUCUUUUUUGAAAUUCAAUAACAUAUAUAUGUGCAACAACAUGGCUUAAGAUUAUUUUCUUGUACUAGUCAUUUUUGAGCUCUUAUAAUUUUAUUCUAAAUUCGAGUAAUUAGAUUUCGACGAUUUUGAACGUCAUCACUGUGCUUAAGUUCUUGCUUAAUAUUUGGCUAAUGUGGAUUGCAUCUCAUAAUAAAAAAUAUAUCUAAUUUUUCAAAGCGCUGUACAAUAGCCAUUCCAUUCAUGUAUCUCCUUAGCAUAUUUCUAGGCUCACAUGUAAAGGAUUGCAGUAAAACAAACUUUCUUCCAAUUUUAUACCUCCUUGUAUCCCAUUUUGAACACUAUCUAUAAUGCCUUGAUAAACAUCAGCACUAAUUUGUUUCUGGUUAGUACGAAAAUGGUCUAACUAGAAGUUUUAAUCUUAACAUACAUAUUUACAACAUAUUGUUAAAAUAAUCUAUCAGUGUAAAGCAAUAUAGACUUACUUGAAACCUGAUUUGAAGUUUGUACGAAUAGCAUUCUCAGUAAAAGACCUAAAAACGUGUAUUUGCUCCAUAAAGAACUACACGAUAAGAACACAAACGUAAUGUAAGUACAUAAAUAGAAAUCUAUAUCUCAAUAGUUCGAAAGUCUAGUAAAAACUAUGUACAGAAACCUUUAUCCUCUUUUUGAAUAAGUUCAUAUGCAAAAGCAAUUGUGUUGGGAAAAGCGAUCAAAUUAGGAAAACGCCGAGGCUCAAAGUGUAUAUUUCUGCAUCUCUUAAUGCCUUCAUGUCAAUUAGAUUCCCAAUAUGGAAAAAGCAGAGGUUACUGCAAAGGAACAUAACAGCCAUAGUAGUAUUGCACUGUACAUUGUCUCAAUUAUGGUACUUUUUUUAUAUACAUGUCAUUUGGAAAAUUAGAAAUCUAACCCCGUUUCUCAAGAGCUAAAAGAUUGGUUUGGUAAGAUGAUGUUUUCGUGACCCUUUUAUUGAAUGAAAAAUGGAGUAUUAUUUCUCUGUGUUAAAUUUGGAGUAUUGGCUUCUUGUUUUUCAUUAGUUUCUCGGCUAUGUGGUGUCGGACCUCUCCAAAAUGACUAAUCAAUCCAUCAAGCUUGGAAGCAGAAUUCGUCAGGCUUGUUUUUAAUGAUUUUCUUCUUUUUAAUUAUGUAUGUCACAAUAUCACAUUUUAUAUUUCAUCUUGAAGAAUUUCGUUAUUUAAUUAAGAAUUUAUGUUUCUUGAAAUAGAGACAGAAGUGUUCUUCUUCUUCUUCUUUUUUUUUUUUUUUUUUUUUUUUUUUUUUUUUUUUUUUGCGUGCUAUUUGAUUGUGUUUGGUAACACUGAUAUGAAAAAUGAGAAUUUUAGGGUUUCUUUAUUUUUUUUCAUGAACAUGGUCAUGAUGGCCUUGUUGACACUUCCUGCUCAAAAAAAGUUUUGAAAAAUGAGAAUUUUAGGGUUUCUUUAUUUUUUUUCAUGAACAUGGUCAUGAUGGCCUUGUUGACACUUCCUGCUCAAAAAAAGUUUUGAUUGCUAUUAUGCAUCGUUCGAAGUAUAACAACUAUAAAGUAAAUUCUUUGGUCUCUCCAUUUAACAGCCUAAUUCUAGCUUCGACUGGUGUUAAAUUGUUAAGAUAUUGAUGAUCCGUGUCAUGUGGAUGUGUCAACGAAAUGAUUUUGUACUAAACUUAAAUUAAACCUGUGGUUUCGAUAUUUUAACUGCAUGUUGAAAUCAAAUUGGAUCAUUGUACAAGACUUACAUAAAUUUCUUUACUCAUUGUCACUCAUUCUCUAACCUCAGCUAUCAUUAUGUUUCUCUCGCUCUCAAGGGUUGAUUUUAAACAUUUUGACAUGUAGAGAUUGAGUUGGCUAAUUAUAGUAUCAUAAAGAAUCUAAAAAUGUAAUAAGAUUGAAUCAGUUUGAAGAUAAUGAUUUUUUAUUUUCAAAUGUUUUGACAAUAAUUAAAUCUAAUUCUAUUCACACUUGUUAAAGUAUAUAAAUUUUUAAUUUGAGAGAUACAACAUACUCAAUAGUCUUUAAAAAUUUUUAAACUACAUCUAGAACUUAAUUUUAAUUUAUAUUUCCAAAUGAAUUUUUGAAGCAAUUGUGUUUCAUACGGAGUUUAUGAUAAGGAAAGUAAAAAGAAAGUGGACUAGUAUGUUUGAUAUCCUAUAUUAUUCAAUUUUUUUCCAUAUAGAGCCUAAAAUUAACGCUAAACAACAAUUUUUUCUAACAUGAGGCCUCUACAAAUCUGUCUUAAUCACAGCAAU